rnacentral:rRNA from 1 species
GUGUGUUUUGCAGUAAAAAAGAAGCAAGCAAAACAUAGAGAGUUUUGCUUCACCGAGUGGCGGACGGGUGAGUAACACGUGAGCAACCUGCCGAAUAGAGGGGGAUAACGUUUGGAAACGGACGCUAAUACCGCAUAACAUGCAGAGAAGGCAUCUUUUCUGCAUCAAAGGAGCAAUCCGCUGUUCGAUGGGCUCGCGUCCGAUUAGAUAGUUGGUGAGGUAAUGGCUCACCAAGUCAGCGAUCGGUAGCCGGACUGAGAGGUUGAUCGGCCACAUUGGGACUGAGACACGGCCCAGACUCCUACGGGAGGCAGCAGUGGGGGAUAUUGCACAAUGGGGGAAACCCUGAUGCAGCGACGCCGCGUGAGUGAAGACGGCCUUCGGGUUGUAAAGCUCUGUUAUGGGGGACGAUAAUGACGGUACCCCAUUAGAAAGCCACGGCUAACUACGUGCCAGCAGCCGCGGUAAUACGUAGGUGGCGAGCGUUGUCCGGAAUUACUGGGUGUAAAGGGAGCGUAGGCGGGAAUGUAAGUUGGAUGUGAAAUACCCGGGCUCAACCCGGGGGCUGCAUCCAAAACUACAUUUCUUGAGUGGAGUAGAGGCAGGCGGAAUUCCUAGUGUAGCGGUGAAAUGCGUAGAUAUUAGGAGGAACACCAGUGGCGAAGGCGGCCUGCUGGGCUUUAACUGACGCUGAGGCUCGAAAGCGU